rnacentral:hammerhead_ribozyme from 1 species
GUCUAGCUGAAGAGUCCCAAAUAGGACGAAACGCGCAUCCUGGAU